rnacentral:rRNA from 1 species
ACAGCAGCAGCCGCGGGAAUACGAAGGGUGCAAGCGUUACUCGGAAUUACUGGGCGUAAAGCGUGUGUAGGUGGUUGUUUAAGUCUGUCGUGAAAGCCCUGGGCUCAACCUGGGAAUUGCGAUGGAUACUGGGCGACUAGAGUGCGGUAGAGGAUAGUGGAAUUUCCGGUGUAGCAGUGAAAUGCGUAGAGAUCGGAAGGAACAUCUGUGGCGAAGGCGACUAUCUGGGCCAACACUGACACUGAGACACGAAAGCGUGGGGAGCAAGCAGGAUUAGAUACCCCCGUAGUCCCUGUCUCUUAUAC